UACUUGGUUGAUCCUGCCAAGGAAGCACACUUAGGUCAUAGAUUAAGCCAUGCAAGUGUU
rnacentral:rRNA from 1 species